rnacentral:tRNA from 1 species
AUUCGAACUCCGUGACGGCCUCACCCAGCGGAGCCGGCGCGGCCGGGGACUCAACCUGGGGUUCCGGUUCCGGUUCGGAUUCGGAUUCGGAUUC